rnacentral:rRNA from 1 species
GUCUACGGGCAUACCACCAUGAACAUGCCCGAUCUUGUCUGAUCUCGGAAGCUAAGCAGGGUCGGGCCUGGUUAGUACUUGGAUGGGAGACAAAUAGCCAGCUCUUACCAUUUUGUUU